rnacentral:lncRNA from 1 species
AUGUGUGUAUUAUUGUGAAUGUCAUAGAAGGACAUCACAUUUAGCAGUCCCUUGGCUGUCACCUUCCACAACUAAAAAACACAUCCUCCUUGCCUGCUAGUUUUCUGUAUUAAUUCCCUCUUUGUAUUUGGAAAAUUCUAACAAUAGGAUAAACACUACACAUUAUGGGGACUUUGUGUUGUGCGUUUAUUAUGACAAAAGUUAAUUUGGACUUCACUUGAAACAUAUGGGGCAGCUUGUCUACUUUCUUUUCUUAUUCACUAUGCUCAUCUUUAAUUUGUAGCAUAUUCUGGUUGGAAAAUAUGUGCAAUUUAUUAACUUUUACUUUCUCUACUUUAAUUUAACUUGUAC